GAUGAACGCUAGCGGCAGGCUUAACACAUGCAAGUCGAGGGGUAGAGUAGCAAUACUUGAGACCGGCGCACGGGUGCGUAACGCGUAUGCAAUCUACCUUUCACAAAGGAAUAGCCCAGAGAAAUUUGGAUUAAUGCCUUAUAGUAUAACGAGUUCGCAUGGAUUUGUUAUUAAAGAUUUAUCGGUGAAAGAUGAGCAUGCGUCCCAUUAGCUAGUUGGUAAGGUAACGGCUUACCAAGGCUACGAUGGGUAGGGGUCCUGAGAGGGAGAUCCCCCACACUGGUACUGAGACACGGACCAGACUCCUACGGGAGGCAGCAGUGAGGAAUAUUGGUCAAUGGGCGCAAGCCUGAACCAGCCAUGCCGCGUGCAGGAUGACGGUCCUAUGGAUUGUAAACUGCUUUUAUACAGGAAGAAACACUCGGACGUGUCCGAGCUUGACGGUACUGUAGGAAUAAGGAUCGGCUAACUCCGUGCCAGCAGCCGCGGUAAUACGGAGGAUCCAAGCGUUAUCCGGAAUCAUUGGGUUUAAAGGGUCCGUAGGCGGCUUAAUAAGUCAGUGGUGAAAUCCCUACGCUUAACGUAGGAACGGCCAUUGAUACUGUUAGGCUUGAAUUAUUAGGAAGUAACUAGAAUAUGUAGUGUAGCGGUGAAAUGCUUAGAGAUUACAUGGAAUACCAAUUGCGAAGGCAGGUUACUACUAAUGGAUUGACGCUGAUGGACGAAAGCGUGAGUAGCGAACAGGAUUAGAUACCCUGGUAGUCCACGCCGUAAACGAUGGAUACUAGCUGUUGGGAGCAAUCUCAGUGGCUAAGCGAAAGUGAUAAGUAUCCCACCUGGGGAGUACGUUCGCAAGAAUGAAACUCAAAGGAAUUGACGGGGGCCCGCACAAGCGGUGGAGCAUG
rnacentral:rRNA from 1 species